rnacentral:rRNA from 1 species
AUGCUAGCAAGAUGGGCAGCAUAUCUUGAGAGGUUUAACUAUCUCAUCGUGCAUAAAUCUGGAAUAACUAACAGAGUGGCCGAUGCUUUGAGUCGUCGUGCAUGCCUCUUGACUUCUUUUGAAGCUGAACUUCCGGGCAUGGGUCAAAUAAAGGAGUUGUAUGAGGGUGACGAAGACUUUGGCCAUGUUUGGGUAAAGCACGCAAGGGGCCAACCAUUAGGUGAUGACUAUUUGAUGCAAGAUGGAUAUCUCUUCAAAAAUGAUCGUUUGUGCAUUCCAAGAAGUUCUCUACGUGACAAGCUGGUUAGAGAGCUCCAUUCAAGUGAUCUUAGUGGCCAUGUUGGACGGGACAAGACUAUCGCUAACCUGGAAGCUCGCUACUUUUGGCCACAACUAAAGAGAGAUGCUGGAAAGUUCGUUCAACGGUGCCCCGUAUGUCAGACCUGCAAAGGCCAAGUCCAGAACACAGGGUUAUACAUGCCUUUGCCUGUUCCUGUUGCUCCAUGGGAGGACAUUUCUAUGGACUUCGUCUUGGGCUUGCCAAGAACAAGACGAGGAAGUGAUGCUGUAUUUGUGGUCGUGGAUAGAUUCUCUAAGAUGGCUCAUUUCAUCCCAUGCCGCAAGACAACGGAUGCUCAUCAUGUCGCAAACCUAUUCUUUCGAGAAGUGGUCAGACUUCAUGGAGUUCCAAGGUCCAUUGUCUCAGACCGUGAUAGCAAGUUUCUUGCUGCAUUUUGGCUCACUUUGUGGAAGCAAUUCAACACUGAAUUGAAAUUUUCUAGCACUGCUCAUCCACAAACAGAUGGACAAACGGAAGUGGUGAACAAGUUUUUGGGUAAUCUGAUCCGUUGCAUUUGUGAAGAAAGAAAGGGGCAAUGGGAUUUGGCUUUAUCUCUUGCAGAGUUCUCCUACAAUAACUCCAAGCAUAGAUCCACAGGAAGGAGCCCUUUUUCCAUUGUCUAUACUAAAGUUCCAACACAUGUGGUGGACCUGGUGAAGCUGCCAUCAAGGGGAAACUCAAAAUCAGCAUUGUCCUUUGCUGAUAAUUACACCGAGUUAUUUGAAGAGAUUCGCGGCGCUUUGGAAGCACAAAAUCAGAAAUAUAAACAACUUGCUGAUUGCAAAAAGAGGCCAAAAUCAUUCCAAGUCGGUGAUAAGGUGAUGGUCUACCUCCGAAAAGAGAGGCUGCCUUUAGGUGUUAAAGGGAAACUUAGGCAGCGAAGGUAUGGGCCCUUCUCUAUCAUGAGGAAGAUAAAUGAUAAUGCUUAUGUGAUAGAUCUUCCAAGUGACAUGGGUAUCUCCAACACUUUCAAUGUUGCGGACUUGACUCUCUACCAUCCAGAAGAAGCGCUCUAUGAAGAUAACUCGAGGGCGAGUUCCAAACAACCAGGGGAGAAUGAUGAGGAACACUAG